AUGGUCUAGUCAUAAGUCAUGGAUGGUCCACU
rnacentral:piRNA from 1 species